UGCAGUCGANCGAACUCUGGUAUUGAUUGGUGCUUGCAUCAUGAUUUACAUUUGAGUGAGUGGCGAACUGGUGAGUAACACGUGGGAAACCUGCCCAGAAGCGGGGGAUAACACCUGGAAACAGAUGCUAAUACCGCAUAACAACUUGGACCGCAUGGUCCGAGUUUGAAAGAUGGCUUCGGCUAUCACUUUUGGAUGGUCCCGCGGCGUAUUAGCUAGAUGGUGGGGUAACGGCUCACCAUGGCAAUGAUACGUAGCCGACCUGAGAGGGUAAUCGGCCACAUUGGGACUGAGACACGGCCCAAACUCCUACGGGAGGCAGCAGUAGGGAAUCUUCCACAAUGGACGAAAGUCUGAUGGAGCAACGCCGCGUGAGUGAAGAAGGGUUUCGGCUCGUAAAACUCUGUUGUUAAAGAAGAACAUAUCUGAGAGUAACUGUUCAGGUAUUGACGGUAUUUAACCAGAAAGCCACGGCUAACUACGUGCCAGCAGCCGCGGUAAUAGAUCGGAAGAGCACACGUCU
rnacentral:rRNA from 1 species